rnacentral:rRNA from 1 species
UUGGUCAAUGGGCGUAAGCCUGAACCAGCCAAGUAGCGUGCAGGAAGACGGCCCUACGGGUUGUAAACUGCUUUUAUGCGGGGAAUAAAGUGCAAUACGUGUAUUGCUUUGCAGGUACCGCAUGAAUAAGGACCGGCUAAUUCCGUGCC